AAACUGUGCUUAGAAAACACCGAGACAGCGCUCAGAAUAUGCAUCUUCCCUUUUUCAUGCUCCGCUUCUUUCUGAGAAUUUCUCUGGAUGCCUGAGUUCCCUCUCCGGAGGCAGUUUCACCAGCUGUCCAUUUCACCCAUCAAGGCGUUUGCAAAAAGUCUGGCCAAUUCUUCUGCAGAGCGCGGGGCGGGACUGGCUCUAGCUGAAGCCCAAUAAAAGGCACGUUCUUUGCAGAGCGUCCCCGCACGUUCGCCAUUGGGUAAUUCAAGGUUUUCAGCCCCUCCUACCCCAGUGGUACGGCCCUGGGUGGGAGCCCGCGGUUCGCGAGGUGCCUGGCGGGUGUUCCCAGGAUGGUCAGAGCUCCAGGUCAUGACGGGGUGAAGGUUGUCCCAGGAAAAGCAAGUGCAGAGACAUCAAGAUUAUGGAAAAUUUCAAACAUACCUAAAGAAGAGGGAGGGAAAGAUACAACUAACUCCCAUAUGCCUGUCCCCCAUGUUCAGUGUGGCCACUGUUCUUUCAUUAUCCCAACACCCCUUCUUGAGCCCCUUAAGUUAUUUUGAAGCAAAUUCCCCACAUUUCAUCCCAAAACACUCAGUCUGUGUCUCUAAUAAGAGGACUCUCUCUUUUAAACAAUAUCAUUAUCACACCAUUCAAAAUUUAGAGUCAUUUUUUAAUGUUACCACAUUUCCUCCGUGGUCCCAUAUAUAUCAUUUCUUUUUUUCCUUUCCAAGCACCUUUUGUUUUAUUUCAAACAUACAAAAAAGACUACAGAGUAAAAGAAUUGUUUUCUGCAUUAAUGAUAGAAUUACUGUUAUCCAUUCAUGGCCAACGUUGUUUCAAUUCCCCCAUCCUCUCCUCCCAGGUAAUUUUGAAGCUACAUGCCAGACAUCAUAAAAAUAAAACUCUUUUU